AACUCAAGUCAUCUUUGAAGGGACUGGGGACUAAGAUAUCAACAUAUCUUUUAGGGGGACAAUUCAACCCACAAUGGUGAUUAUGACUCUGCAAGUUUGUGUGUGGUGUACAUGAGUGUGUGUGUCAAUGUGGGUGUGAAUAAGUGUAAGGGAGGAGUGAGAGUAUAUGUGUGAGUGCUUGUGGAAAUGUGUCUCUGGUUGUGCUUAUGUGGCUGUGGACACAUGUACAAGAGCAUGUAUGUAUGUGUACCCUGUGUCCAUGGCUUGGACAACCUUCUGGAAGGGCUGAGAAACGUGGCAAGGUAGCGAGAUAGCCACAGGCCUGGUUCCACGCUCCCAGCUGGGGCGGCCCCGUGAGUCAAGAGGGCGGAAGACUGUGAGAAGCAAGGACAAGGGUGUUUGCUGAGCUGGGUACAGCCCGGGAGGUCGAGGCAGUGGCUCCAGGCAGCAGCGUGGUUCCCAGGUCCUCUUCCAGGAACGUUCCUAGAAGGCCCCUCCACCCAAGCACCCAUCCCCAGAACCCCAUUUGCCUGGAUGGGGCUGUGCGGGCUGACUCAUCCCCUUCCUGGGCUGGAAGCCAGCACUCAGCUACCUGUUGGGCCAGUCAAGUAGGGGCGGGGCAGUCAGUCAGCCCCUCCCAGGCCCUGCCCUCAGGCCAAUCCGGAGCAGCGCCCCAUCAGCCCCAGCACAUGACCAGGGCUGGACCCCAGGAAGUGAAGAAAGCCAGCGGUGAGCACAUGGUCAGGGUCCCGGUUUUCGUUUUGGUGUGGUGGUGAGCUUGUUGUCUGUGAGGAUGUCGGCUGGUUUGUGUGUACACAGGAGAAGAGGAUGUGCGGCGUACCUCCGGGUGGGUUUGCCUGCCUGGGACACCCAGGGGCAUGGCUGCAGGCUGCAUCUGCGAGUGUGCCCUGGUGCAGGUGUGUGAGUAGCUGUGGGGGUUCAGAAGAGCCUGCCCCCUACGUGUGUGGGUGUCCACAGGGUGCCGCCCCACCGCUUCCCCCUUACCAGGUCACCGCCACCAUCCUCGGCAGAGCCCCUGGCCCAGGUUGGUGAAGACGGAGAUAGAGGUCUCUUUUCACCACAAGACCGCCAGGCACAAGCAUCCUACAUGGCCAUACCUACCGUGCUGAAGGCCAGAGCAUCCAGGAGGUGUAUGAGCCAUCAGCCAUCCCCAAGGACAGGAACAGAGGGUGCUGCUACAGAGGACAGCACAGGCAAAGGCUGGGUGGUGGGGUUUGUGAGGCUGAUGGACGACAGAGGCUUGGCAGCAGUGGUUAUGGGGAGAGAGGAGGGGUGCAGGGCCAUUCUGCACUGAGGGCCACCCUGCCCCUUCCUGGCAGAAAACUGGGUAAACAGACUCGGAUAUUCUUCCACACGCUGGGCACAGCUUCUGCUGAGGCAGGGGGGUCAGGACCAGUUCGAGAGCCACACUGAAUGAAGACCCACCCUCCAAGUCCCCAGAUCCUUCAGCUCUAAAGAACCCGCAACCCUGAAUGCCAAGAAACAGGACCCAUCCAGCUGCAGUUCAGUCCUCUGGGCCCCCAGCGCCCCCUGUAGGCAGGACGCUACACCAGUAGGGGGAGGGGCUUCCACGUGCUGGGAAGAGAAAAGGAGACGAGACUUGCUCUCCAGGAGGUACGAAGACACCACCUCAGGAACCUGCAGUGGGAUAAAGGCACAAACGUUGACCUCAAAGCUCCAAUCUGAAAUUCAGCCUCUGUCCUCAGGAAGCUUCCACUGUGAUGGAAAUAUACACUCUACCAUCAGAACUCCAUUCAGAAAGUAUCUCCUUCAGUCCACCUGCGCGCAGGGAGCCUGCCACAUGGCUGGGUGCAGGGGACCGGACUCGAAGCUGGGGAAAGAGCCGCAGGACCUAGGAGCGCCCCCUGGAGGGGGGACGAUGCUCUGGCCACGCCCCUCGCUGCCCCGCCCCCAGGCCCCGCCCACUGUGUCCUCGGAAGUGGGGAAGCUCCGCCAGCAGCCCCGAAACAGGUGGCUCCUCGCCCGGGGAAAGUGCCGGCGCCUCCCCGGGCAGGAGUCCCUUCUCCGCAGCCUUU